AGAGCACCAUCCGAUUCCUGGCAGAGCUUAAGGCCCAGGGAUGGCAGCAGAAUACGGAUUCGAGACAACUUGUGAAUAACCACAGAAGUCAGCUACCCAACACACAGACAGGCCUAACAGUGAAAUCUCCAGGUUGGUCUGACUCCACUUUAAGCGGCUCAAGUGCCAUCACUGGACUGAACGGUGGAACUGGCUGUGAUGCUACACUGCUGAUUCCCUUUCCUCUGUCUACUCUUCGGGAGAAUGCAAAUGGGAUACGGUAUGUUAAAUGCCACAAGGACCAGGAUGCUUCAGUGCCCAAAGAGGCAACAACAGAGAGAAAAGGAGAAUGAAGAUGACUGCUGACACGUCACCGAGGACUUCUGCAGAACACGUUCAGUGUGAGAAUUCCCAAAGGUUGACAGAUGCUGUUUAACAGAAGUAAAAUGUAAGAUUCCUAAGGCCUGCUUCACAUAUAAAGGAGUAGUUAUUGGGAAACCCAGUACAUUUUGUAAUUAUGUUCUAAAAUACAGUAACAAUGGAUUAUAACAUAAGCAUAAUUACUGCUGAAAAUAAAGCUAUGAACUAACAACAAAAGGCUUUAGGAAAGGCUAAUUUCAAAGUAAAAAUAAAGAAGAUUUAAUCCAAAACAUUCUCCUUAUUCUAAGUUUAAAUAACUCUUGGGAACCUAACUGGAUUAAAAUUGAACGAUCUGACCAGUACUCAGAAGAAUCAUCAUCAUAGCAUGUACACAAAAUAGAGAAUAAAAUUUUAAUGGUAUCAAAAACAGAACUUUAUGGUCAAUUUAGUAUUUGCUGGAAUAAGGCUGCAAAAUGUUACUCAGUAACUGACUUAGCUUCUAAAUCAAGCCAGAAUUACACAUACUCUGUGUAUUACGUUAGUAUAUACAAGUACAUUCCAGGAUAACAUGCAGAGACAUGGAAACAAUAAGCGUACCGUAAGUCAAAAUCACCAUCUCUAUGGAUGAAAUAAUAAAUAGAAAACAAAA